AAAUAAAAGAGUAAUUAAAAAUAAGGGUAAUAUUGUAAACUUAUGUUUAUCAAGGAGAUUUUUUGCCAUUAUAAAAACAGUAAUGGGAUAAAUAGUAUAUGUUAAUUACUGUAGGGGGAAAAGUGGCAAUCCCCCAAUAUUAUAAUCUUCUCGUGAGUUACACAAAACCAAAAUGAUUGAGUUUAGUUCACCAUUACAAAGAUUGUUAUGUUUUCCAGUUAAAUUUGGAAAAGUAAAACCUGAAAUGUGUAAGACACUUGUUCGUCCUCUAGACUAAACUCAUCUGUGAGGUUAAGGCUUGAUUCAACAUAUAAAGUGAGGUCAUAAGGAUUCUGCUCCUCUUCUCAAUAUUCUUGCGGGGGUCAGUUGCGGUUUUUUGUCAAUUGGAUUUUUUCUCAUUUUCUUUAAAAAUAUAAAGGCCAAUGUAUAUUCGUGUUGUUUUUAUACCUUAUCAGGGACUGACUUGUGGAACACGACAGUCUCAAAGACAUAAGUGACAAGAAAGAAGCCCAAUAUAUAUAGACCCUGGACCAUUCGCACCCAUUUGAAACUUAAGUUUGGAUUUUUUAGACUUAGACCAUGGGCCACUUGUACGGCCUAGGUUGGGCAGAGUAGGAACCAUAGUAUAAGUAAACAAAUCUUACGGCCACCAAUUAAAAAGAAAUUAUCGUGGGUUACUGCAUUUACUAAACGAAAAUUGGAAUGAGUUAGAAUUAAAAUGGAUAGGGAUUGAAAUAGGUUGAAAUUAGAAUAGAGAAUAGGAAUAAAAACUAAGAGCAUUUUCAAAAGUCUC
rnacentral:lncRNA from 1 species